rnacentral:lncRNA from 1 species
CUGUCAGGGGCCCCUGGAUGUGAACCCUGUCUGUUCUGGCUCCAGAGCCCUUGGGCGCUGUCUUGCCCUGUGCUGUUCCUUGCUGAGAGGAAGAGGAGCCCCCGGAACAGGCAGACGGAAGUCUGUGCACUCGGCGAGCUGACCGCCAGCUCAAACACCCAUAAGGUCUGACCCGUCCCUCCCAGGUCAUCCAGGAUCUCAAGCUGCAGAGGAAGGAUGCAUGAAGCUGGGAACCAUCACAGCCAAGUUUCAGACGAGAGUAAAUUCAAGUGGUGACCGAGAUCAACUGAUAUCAUUUGGUUUAGGCAGCACGUCCUCACAAAGUUCAUUAUAGCUGCUGUAAAAUUGAGCAGGGGUCCAAUCUCCACCUCAGCCGCAGUCAAAUGACCCCACUGCCCUCCCAUGUGGGAGGCUGGGACCACAGCCAGAACUUUUAUCUGUUCCACUUGGGCUGAGAAAGAAGCAAAGGCCAAGAUUAGCCAGGAAGGUAUUAGAAUGACCUUCUAGAGAAUACGCAUGUGAGCAGACAUUCCAGAACAUUCUCCAUCGCAUGAACAAGGUACAGAAAUGCAGAGCCAUACAGGUGGAGGCAGCCACAGAGCGGAUCAUUCCUGAGUUUGGAUCUAGGUGGUGGCUUCUGCAAGUGUGCUCCACUUGUGAAAGUACACGGAGAUAUACACUUGAAACGUGGCACUUUUCACAUCAACAUCAAACUUCAAUAAAAUUACAAUGAAUUAUUAUAAAUAAUAAUGUUAUGUAUCAGGAUGUACAUAAGCAUAAAACCAUAGGGGCCAGCCCGGUUGCG